rnacentral:rRNA from 1 species
GAUGAACGCUGGCGGCGUGCCUAACACAUGCAAGUCGAGCGAAGCGCUGUUUUCAGAAUCUUCGGAGGAAGAGGACAGUGACUGAGCGGCGGACGGGUGAGUAACGCGUGGGCAACCUGCCUCAUACAGGGGGAUAACAGUUAGAAAUGACUGCUAAUACCGCAUAAGCGCACAGGACCGCAUGGUGUAGUGUGAAAAACUCCGGUGGUAUGAGAUGGACCCGCGUCUGAUUAGGUAGUUGGUGGGGUAAAGGCCUACCAAGCCGACGAUCAGUAGCCGACCUGAGAGGGUGACCGGCCACAUUGGGACUGAGACACGGCCCAAACUCCUACGGGAGGCAGCAGUGGGGAAUAUUGCACAAUGGGGGAAACCCUGAUGCAGCGACGCCGCGUGAAGGAAGAAGUAUUUCGGUAUGUAAACUUCUAUCAGCAGGGAAGAAGAUGACGGUACCUGAGUAAGAAGCACCGGCUAAAUACGUGCCAGCAGCCGCGGUAAUACGUAUGGUGCAAGCGUUAUCCGGAUUUACUGGGUGUAAAGGGAGCGUAGACGGAUAGGCAAGUCUGGAGUGAAAACCCAGGGCUCAACCCUGGGACUGCUUUGGAAACUGCAGAUCUGGAGUGCCGGAGAGGUAAGCGGAAUUCCUAGUGUAGCGGUGAAAUGCGUAGAUAUUAGGAGGAACACCAGUGGCGAAGGCGGCUUACUGGACGGUGACUGACGUUGAGGCUCGAAAGCGUGGGGAGCAAACAGGAUUAGAUACCCUGGUAGUCCACGCCGUAAACGAUGACUAAAAGGUGUCGGUGUGCAAAACACAUCGGGUCCGCCAGCAAACGCAAUAAGUAGUCCACCCCGGGGGGUACGUUCGCCAAGAAAGAAACUCAAAAGAAAUGACGGGGGGACCCGCACAAGCGGUGGAGCAUGUGGUUUAAUUUGAAGCAACGCGAAGAACCUUACCUGGUCUUGACAUCCGGAUGACGGGCGAGUAAUGUCGCUGUCCCUUCGGGGCAUCCGAGACAGGUGGUGCAUGGUUGUCGUCAGCUCGUGUCGUGAGAUGUUGGGUUAAGUCCCGCAACGAGCGCAACCCUUAUCUUCAGUAGCCAGCAUAUAAGGUGGGCACUCUGGAGAGACUGCCAGGGAGAACCUGGAGGAAGGUGGGGAUGACGUCAAAUCAUCAUGCCCCUUAUGGCCAGGGCUACACACGUGCUACAAUGGCGUAAACAAAGGGAAGCGAGAGGGUGACCUGAAGCGAAUCCCAAAAAUAACGUCUCAGUUCGGAUUGUAGUCUGCAACUCGACUACAUGAAGCUGGAAUCGCUAGUAAUCGCGGAUCAGCAUGCCGCGGUGAAUACGUUCCCGGGUCUUGCACA